rnacentral:rRNA from 1 species
CAAUAGCGUAUAUUUAAGUUGUUGCAGUUAAAAAGCUCGUAGUUGGAUUUCGGAUGGGAUUUGCCGGUCCGUCGUUACGAUGUGCACUGGCCAGUCCUAUCUUGUUGUCGGGGACUAGCUCCUUGGAUUCACUUCCUGGGACUAGGAGCUGACGAGGUUACUUUGAGUAAAUUAGAGUGUUCAAAGCAAGCCUACGCUCUGAAUACAUUAGCAUGGAAUAACACGAUAGGACUCUGGCUUAUCUUGUUGGUCUGUGAGACCAGAGUAAUGAUUAAGAGGGACAGUCGGGGACAUUCGUAUUUCAUUGUCAGAGGUGAAAUUCUUGGAUUUAUGAAAGACGAACUUCUGCGAAAGCAUUUGUCAAGGGUGUUUUCAUUAA